rnacentral:lncRNA from 1 species
GUCGUUAGCAGAAAUGGCGAAGCGUCAGCAACCGCACGAGGCGGAACCGAGCGCUUGCCGAGGCACGAGGCCCCCUUGGGCCUGCUGCUCGGGCAGCUGCAUAGUGCUCGUGGCGACUGCUGGGGCUCACCGGCCUUCUUGAUCAUGAAGUACAGGUCCUCAGGGAUCUCGGGGGCCAGACCCGCGCCCUUCAGGAUGCGCAGGACCUUGCUGCCAGUCACGGUGUUGAUGAGAGGCACGCCGUGCUGGUCACGCAGCACGAUGCCGAUUUGCGAGGGGGUCAUACCCUUGCGGGCGAACUUGCAAAUCAUCUCCUGCACCUCAGCGCCGGUGGUCUUGCACC